UACGUAGGGGGGCAAGCGUUGUCCGGAAUUAUUGGGCGUAAAGAGCUCGUAGGCGGCUUGUCACGUCGGGUGUGAAAGCCCGGGGCUUAACCUCGGGUCUGCAGUCGAUACGGGCUAGCUAGAGUGUGGUAGGGGAGAUCGGAAUUCCUGGUGUAGCGGUGGAAUGCGCAGAUAUCAGGAGGAACACCGAUGGCGAAGGCAGAUCUCUGGGCCGUAACUGACGCUGAGGAGCGAAAGCAUGGGGAGCGAACAGG
rnacentral:rRNA from 1 species